rnacentral:tRNA from 1 species
CAGAAAAUAGUUUAUUAAAAAUUCUAAUUUUGGGGAUUAGGGAUAAGGGUAAUUCCUUUUUUCUGA